GGCGCUGUAGUGUAGUGGUUAUCACUCGGGAUUUUGAAGAUAAUGAAGCUUCCCGAAACCCAGGUUCGAACCCUGGCAGAGCCU